rnacentral:rRNA from 1 species
CUACGGGUGGCUCCAGUGGGGAAUCUUAGACAAUGGGGGCAACCCUGAUCUAGCCAUGCCGCGUGAGUGAUGAAGGCCUUAGGGUCGUAAAGCUCUUUCGCCUGUGAUGAUAAUGACAGUAGCAGGUAAAGAAACCCCGGCUAACUCCGUGCCAGCAGCCGCGGUAAUACGGAGGGGGUUAGCGUUGUUCGGAAUUACUGGGCGUAAAGCGCGCGUAGGCGGAUUAGAAAGUUGGGGGUGAAAUCCCGGGGCUCAACAUCGGAACUGCCUCCAAAACUGCUAGUCUAGAGUUCGAGAGAGGUGAGUGGAAUUCCGAGUGUAGAGGUGAAAUUCGUAGAUAUUCGGAGGAACACCAGUGGCGAAGGCGGCUCACUGGCUCGAUACUGACGCUGAGGUGCGAAAGUGUGGGGAGCAAACAGGAUUAGAUACCCCAGUAGUC